rnacentral:rRNA from 1 species
GAUGAACGCUGGCGGCGUGCCUAAUACAUGCAAGUCGAGCGAACGGACGAGAAGCUUGCUUCUCUGAUGUUAGCGGCGGACGGGUGAGUAACACGUGGAUAACCUACCUAUAAGACUGGGAUAACUUCGGGAAACCGUAGCUAAUACCGGAUAAUAUUUUGAACCGCAUGGUUCAAAAGUGAAAGACGGUCUUGCUGUCACUUAUAGAUGGAUCCGCGCUGCAUUAGCGAGUUGGUAAGGUAACGGCUUACCAAGGCAACGAUGCAUAGCCGACCUGAGAGGGGGAUCGGCGACACUGGAGCUGAGACACGGUCCAGACUCCUACGGGAGGCAGCAGUAGGGAAUCUUCCGCAAUGGGCGAAAGCCUGACGGAGCAACGCCGCGUGAGUGAUGAAGGUCUUCGGAUCGUAAAACUCUGUUAUUAGGGAAGAACAUAUGUGUAAGUAACUGUGCACAUCUUGACGGUACCUAAUCAGAAAGCCACGGCUAACUACGUG